CAUCGCUAUAAAGUGUUCUUAUUAUGUAAUAAUUCAUAAGCACACUACAUAGCGGUGCU
rnacentral:pre_miRNA from 1 species